rnacentral:rRNA from 1 species
CCCAGACUCCUACGGGAGGCAGCAGUGGGGGAUAUUGCACAAUGGGGGGAACCCUGAUCCAGCGACGCCGCGUGAGUGAAGAAGUAUUUCGGUAUGUAAAGCUCUAUCAGCAGGGAAGAAAGAAAUGACGGUACCUGACUAAGAAGCCCCGGCUAAAUACGUGCCAGCAGCCGCGGCAAUACGUAUGGUGCAAGCGUUAUCCGGAUUUACUGGGUGUAAAGGGAGCGUAGGCGGCGCGUUAAGUCUGAUGUGAAAACCCGAGGCUCAACCACGGGAGUGCAUUGGAAACUGGCGGGCUGGAGUGCCGGAGAGGUAAGCGGAAUUCCUAGUGUAGCGGUGAAAUGCGUAGAUAUUAGGAGGAACACCAGUGGCGAAGGCGGCUUACUGGACGGCAACUGACGCUGAGGCUCGAAAGCGUGGGGAGCAAACAGGAUUAGAUACCCGUGUA